CCGCGGUAAUACGUAGGUAGCGAACGUUGUCCGGAAUCACUGGGCGUAAAGGGUCCGUAGGCGGUUUAAUAAGUCUCAUAUGAAAGCUCCAAGCUCAACUUGGAGAUGUUGUGAGAUACUGUUAGACUUGAGGCUGUUAGAGGCAAGUGGAAUUCCAGGUGUAGUGGUGAAAUGCGUAGAUAUCUGGAGGAACACCAGUGGCGAAAGCGACUUGCUGGGACAGUUCUGACGCUAAGGGACGAAAGCGUGGGGAGCAAACCGG
rnacentral:rRNA from 1 species